rnacentral:misc_RNA from 1 species
GAUGAAGAACGCAGCGAAAUGCGAUAAGUAGUGUGAAUUGCAGAAUUCAGUGAAUCAUCGAAUCUUUGAACGCACAUUGCGCCCUUUGGUAUUCCAAAGGGCAUGCCUGUUCGAGCGUCAUUUGUACCCUCAAGCUUUGCUUGGUGUUGGGCGUCUUGUCUCCAGCUUUGCUGGAGACUCGCCUUAAAGUAAUUGGCAGCCGGCCUACUGGUUUCGGAGCGCAGCACAAGUCGCACUCUCUAUCAGCAAAGGUCUAGCAUCCAUUAAGCCUUUUUUUCAACUUUUGACCUCGGAUCAGGUAGGGAUACCCGCUGAACUUAAGCAUAUCAAUAAGCGGAGGA